UUCCAACGUGUUCGUGGCCCAGACCGACCAGAGAGAAACUCGGCCUGGCCCGUCCCCUUCCUCCGCCGCCCCCGCCGCACUGCCCGGCGGAUGCUGCCGCUCCGGUGGACCAUAUCCCCAGUUUUGAUGGAUUCCGGUCGUCCGUGCGCUCCUGUGGCAGGCCGCCACUCUUCCGUACCAGCACCCCUCCCCCCUCCUGCCGUCUCCGGCAGCGGCCUCCGCUGCCACCGCAUCGACAGGUUUGAUUCACAGGUACUCCAAUCAACUAGGAGUAGUACAGAUUUGUGGAUCCUCCUACCAAUCAGCUACUCGUGCAAGGAUUCCGAGCGCUCGCCGGCGAGGCGAAGAGCUUGAGCCUAUCAGAGCAAUAAUCCAGAGGGGACGAGCGGCUAAUCGAACGCACCGUGAAAUCACACCAUUGGCACGAAACGGUCAAGAGUGAAGACCACCUCUUCUACAAGUGUGAUACACAGUCAGAUUGUGGGAAAUGAUAAAAGGGAUGGCUACAGCUAGGACAUCUCGACGCCUCCACUUGGCAUCUCUUCCAGUCCACCAACUAUUGGUGGGUGAGUCAAUCUGACAACAACAUUCCAAACCGGAAGGUGAUGGCUUCAUUAACCAUGCUUAUCUCUUGGACAAUUUGGAACGAAAGAAAUGCACGCGUCUUCCUUCAAAAAAGCGCCCCGCCGAUGGUCCUGCUUAGCAAUAUCAAGGUUGAGGCGGCGGUUUGGGUCAGGUGCCAAACACUUGGGUACUAUGAUGCCAGGAGAGUAAUGACUUUUGUAUUGACGGUGUGUUGUAAUGCCUUACUGUAACACAACAAACUCUAUUCUUUUUUAAUUAAUAGAUGAAGCAAAUCUUUUACC